rnacentral:rRNA from 1 species
CACAGAGAGCUUGCUCUCGGGUGACGAGUGGCGGACGGGUGAGUAAUGUCUGGGAAACUGCCUGAUGGAGGGGGAUAACUACUGGAAACGGUAGCUAAUACCGCAUAACGUCGCAAGACCAAAGAGGGGGACCUUCGGGCCUCUUGCCAUCAGAUGUGCCCAGAUGGGAUUAGCUAGUAGGUGGGGUAACGGCUCACCUAGGCGACGAUCCCUAGCUGGUCUGAGAGGAUGACCAGCCACACUGGAACUGAGACACGGUCCAGACUCCUACGGGAGGCAGCAGUGGGGAAUAUUGCACAAUGGGCGCAAGCCUGAUGCAGCCAUGCCGCGUGUAUGAAGAAGGCCUUCGGGUUGUAAAGUACUUUCAGCGGGGAGGAAGGUGUUGUGGUUAAUAACCGCAGCAAUUGACGUUACCCGCAGAAGAAGCACCGGCUAACUCCGUGCCAGCAGCCGCGGUAAUACGGAGGGUGCAAGCGUUAAUCGGAAUUACUGGGCGUAAAGCGCACGCAGGCGGUCUGUCAAGUCGGAUGUGAAAUCCCCGGGCUCAACCUGGGAACUGCAUUCSAAACUGGCAGGCUAGAGUCUUGUAKAGGGGGGUAGAAUUCCAGGUGUAGCGGUGAAAUGCGUAGAGAUCUGGAGGAAUACMGGWGRCGAAGGCGGCSCCCUGGASAWRSACUGACGCUCAGGUGCGAAAAGCGUGKGGAKCAWACASGAKKAGAUACCCUGSKACGUCCACKCCGCYAAAMGAUGUCGACWUGUGAGGWUGUGCUCCUKGAGGCRUGKCYUCCCCKSAGCUAAAMRMGAUUAWSUCGGACCGCCCUGGGGAGUACGGCCGCAAGGUUAAAACUCAAAUGAAUUGACGGGGGCCCGCACAAGCGGUGGAGCAUGUGGUUUAAUUCGAUGCAACGCGAAGAACCUUACCUACUCUUGACAUCCAGAGAACUUUCCAGAGAUGGAUUGGUGCCUUCGGGAACUCUGAGACAGGUGCUGCAUGGCUGUCGUCAGCUCGUGUUGUGAAAUGUUGGGUUAAGUCCCGCAACGAGCGCAACCCUUAUCCUUUGUUGCCAGCGGUUAGGCCGGGAACUCAAAGGAGACUGCCAGUGAUAAACUGGAGGAAGGUGGGGAUGACGUCAAGUCAUCAUGGCCCUUACGAGUAGGGCUACACACGUGCUACAAUGGCGCAUACAAAGAGAAGCGACCUCGCGAGAGCAAGCGGACCUCAUAAAGUGCGUCGUAGUCCGGAUUGGAGUCUGCAACUCGACUCCAUGAAGUCGGAAUCGCUAGUAAUCGUAGAUCAGAAUGCUACGGUGAAUACGUUCCCGGGCCUUGUACACACCGCCCGUCACACCAUGGGAGUGGGUUGCAAAAGAAGUAGGUAGCUUAAC